AGUGAACGCUGGCGGUAGGCCUAACACAUGCAAGUCGAACGGGAGCACAGUAAGAGCUUGCUCUUACGGGUGGCGAGUGGCGGACGGGUGAGGAAUACAUCGGAAUCUACUUUUUCGUGGGGGAUAACGUAGGGAAACUUACGCUAAUACCGCAUACGACCUACGGGUGAAAGCAGGGGAUCUUCUGACCUUGCGCGAUUGAAUGAGCCGAUGUCGGAUUAGCUAGUUGGCUGGGUAAAGGCCCACCAAGGCGACGAUCCGUAGCUGGUAUGAGAGGAUGAUCACGCACACUGGCACUGAGACAGGGCCCAGAGUCCUGGAGGAGGCAGCGGUGGAGAAUAUUGAACAAGGGGCGCAAGCCUAAUCCAGCAAUACCGGCGAGAUGAAGAAGGCCUAAGGGUUGUAAAGCCCUUAAGUUGGGAAAGAAAAGCAGCAGGUUAAUACCCCACUGUACUGACGGUACCCAAAGAAUAAGCACCGGCUAACUUCGUG
rnacentral:rRNA from 1 species